GAUGAACGCUGGCGGCGUGCCUAAUACAUGCAAGUCGAGCGAACAGACGAGGAGCUUGCUCCUCUGACGUUAGCGGCGGACGGGUGAGUAACACGUGGAUAACCUACCUAUAAGACUGGGAUAACUUCGGGAAACCGGAGCUAAUACCGGAUAAUAUAUUGAACCGCAUGGUUCAAUAGUGAAAGACGGUUUUGCUGUCACUUAUAGAUGGAUCCGCGCCGCAUUAGCUAGUUGGUAAGGUAACGGCUUACCAAGGCAACGAUGCGUAGCCGACCUGAGAGGGUGAUCGGCCACACUGGAACGGAGACGCGGUCCAGACUACUACGGGAGGCAGCAGUAGGGAAUCUUACGCAAUGGGCGGAAGCCUGACGGAGCAACGCCGCGUGAGUGAUGAAGGUCUUCGGAUCGUAAAACUCUGUUAUUAGGGAAGAACAAACGUGUAAGUAACUAUGCACGUCUUGACGGUACCUAAUCAGAAAGCCACGGCUAACUACGUG
rnacentral:rRNA from 1 species